CUUGAAUGUUGAAUCUGACAUAGUUGAGUUAAGAAUAGUUAAAUUCAUUGGCUUAAACUCCUUAACUAGUUUGUAUUUGAAGCUCAUUAGUUUGUUUUGUUUCAGAAGGCUUAGUUAUAUCAAAUAGCACACUUGUUUUAAAUUUGAAUCAUGACUAAUCUGCAGCUGAUUUGGUAGCUUAAAAUACCGUUCGUCAAUUCUAGAUUGUUUUAGGUUCUUCAGUUCAUCUGCACGUUUUCAGCCACUAACGUUGUUACAAACCAUUUUUAAGUUGAGUUAGUUUGCAUGUGCUGUGUGUCGGGCAGGUCAGAAAUUAGAUUGCCUGGCUUGUGUCGAGUCAUUUGUGCUUGGUCCGGCUAUCUAUUCUUGGUCUCUAAGUCGGGAUCUGACUCGAGCCUUCUGGUUAUUUGAAUCUUUUAUGCUCGUGCGGAUAGGUAGUAUUUGUUUUGAUCUCUUGCCUUGGCCAUUCGCCGCUCCAACUAUUUGUUGGGUCCAAUCUCUGAGUCGAAUUGUGAUUGGUGCUUCAAUCGACCCUUAAGCUCUCUUCUGCCUGCAUGGGUGAAUGAUGAUGGCUCUUUUGCUUUGGGUCGAAGUGACCUCACAAGCGUAUGGCCCAGAAAUUUAAUCAACUGGCGAUGGUAUCUUCUGAGUCGUGCUUUUAGGCAUCAUAUAGUUUAACUACUUUUGGGUCCAGUCUCUGACUCGCGUUGCAAUUCAGCCUGCAAUCAACCCUUAAAUUUCCCUGAUUCCUUGGCCGACAAUAGUGGCACUUAUGCCGUGCCCUUAGGCAUAUUGUAAUUUUUGGGUCCAGUCUCCAAGUCGCAAACGGCUCUAUGAGGUAAGCAAUACCUUUAGAAUACUUUUCCUUAAUAAAAAAUGGUGAUAUGCAUAUAUAAAUAUCCAUAAUGCUUUGUGUAAAACUGUGAGACCAUGUUUUGGGAUUAACUACUUACAACUUUUGCUAGUGACCAUAGGGGAAAAUUGAUCGGAAAUUUCCGUUGGAAUCCACGAUGAUUUGGACUCCCCAUAGACCCUUACAUUCGAGGACGAAUGUUCCUGGGAGAGGGGAGGGUCUUACAACCCAUAUUCACGUAUGUUAACUCAUUCCAUAAGGUACUCAAGGUAAAUCCAUGAAGAUAUUAUCUUUAAGAUGAUAAGAAGUUAAUCCUAUUGGUCUUAAAUGAUAUAAAGAUGUAUAAGGGUGGAUAACAAAUAUGCGAAGUUAAACGAAUCAAGGAUGUUGUCAGCCGUAUUUUUGGAUAAAGAGGUUCUUAAUACGCUCAAAGGGUACUGUUUUAAGUUAUUUGAAUCAUUCUAUAUCCAUAUCAUAAGUCUUGAAGUCAAACGAUUUAUGAGACAAAAGUCGACAAAAGUUGGCACAACUUAGGUUCAUAAUUUUACUUAAACAUUAGUUCAGAUGUUACUAAGAUUUUCUCCAAAUUUACUUAGAAUAAUGGAGUUAUCUAACCACCAAAUGAAUAUCUAUGAAUCUAGUUUCCAACGCAUUAAACCGUUUGUCGAUACGAUCUCUGAGUAGAGAGAUAUUCACAUUUUUGCGAGACUGCGCCAAGCACCUUUCUAAGGGGCCCACUUAGGCGGUUUAAGACAUUUGGAUAUAUAUAUAGGAUGCCUCCAACCCGUUUUAAGUCAUUUUGUUUCACUAUAUUCAGACCUUAGAACCCUAGGAACACCCUUUGAAGGUUCUCUCAAGAUUCAAGACCCAAACAAAGGGCAAACAAUACAAAUCAAGUAUCGUGAAUCCCGUGGCGAAGUUUCUUUUUCUUCUUGUUGUUUCUCAUUUUUGUGUUGUUCCAGCUCGUGUGGGAGGUUGUUUUAAUGGGUUUAUUUUCUUUAAAUACACCCCUAAGUUCUUAAUAUCAACCCUAGGUUAUUUUGAUCCUUCUAAAGUGAUUCUAGUAUCGAAAAACACUGAUUGCUAGUUUCGCUUUCUUGUUAUUGUGGCAGCAUUAGAGGGAUAUUUCAUAGAAAUUUAGGUCAAAUUGGAGUUGUUAUUUCUGUAUAAAGUUAAGGUACCUCUUACUCUAUAUGUAUUUAAGAUUAUCCAAGUUGCGGCUAAGUCAUUGAAGCUAGAACUNNN
rnacentral:lncRNA from 1 species